UGUAGGGAUAGCACCGACCUGUGGACCUGCCUGAAGGCAGGUCUGCAUGUCAUGAUUGCAAGCACCGGUUCAGGCCCGGAAGGGAGCAGACCUACUGCAGGUUACUGUCGCUUACAGGGUUAUGGGGAGGAGGACGCACCUGGAUAAACUGACAUAGGCGCUGCUGGCAACCGCCAGCCUGCCCGCCA
rnacentral:SRP_RNA from 1 species